rnacentral:rRNA from 1 species
CCUACGGGUUGCAGCAGUGGGGAAUAUUGCACAAUGGGCGCAAGCCUGAUGCAGCCAUGCCGCGUGUGUGAAGAAGGCCUUCGGGUUGUAAAGCACUUUCAGUCGUGAGGAAGGUGGUGUAGUUAAUAGCUGCAUUACUUGACGUUAGCGACAGAAGAAGCGCCGGCUAACCCCGUGCCAGCAGCCGCGGUAAUACGGAGGGUGCGAGCGUUAAUCGGAAUUACUGGGCGUAAAGCGCAUGCAGGUGGUUUGUUAAGUCAGAUGUGAAAGCCCGGGGCUCAACCUCGGAAUAGCAUUUGAAACUGGCAGACUAGAGUACUGUAGAGGGGGGUAGAAUUUCAGGUGUAGCGGUGAAAUGCGUAGAGAUCUGAAGGAAUACCGGUGGCGAAGGCGGCCCCCUGGACAGAUACUGACACUCAGAUGCGAAAGCGUGGGGAGCAAACAGGAUUAGAUACCCGUGUAGUC